CGGUAAAGCUUUUGCGGUUUGGGAUGGGCCUGCGUCCUAUCAGGUAGUUGGUGAGGUAAGUGCUCACCAAGCCUAUGACGGGUAGCUGGUCUGAGAGGAUGGUCAGCCAGACUGGGACUGCGACACGGCCCAGACUCCUACGGGAGGCAGCAACUAGGAAUUGUGCGCAAUGGACGAAAGUCUGACGCCGCGACAUCGCGUGGAGGAUGAAGGUCUUCGGAUUGUAAACUCCUUUUCUUACCGAACAAGUUCUGAGUGUAGGUAAGGAAUAAGUGCCUGCUAACCACGUGUCAGAAGCAUCGGUAAUACGUGGGGCACGAGCGUUAUCCGGAUUUACUGGGCGUAAAGAGAAGCGUAGGCGGCUCGAUAAGUUUGGUGUUAAAUCUUCCGGCUCAACCGGAAACAAGCACCGAAAACUAUCGAGAUUGAGUCGAGUAGGGAAGAGGGGAAUUCCUGGUGGAGCGGUUAAAUGCGUAGAUAUCAGGAGGAAUACCAAGGGCGAAGGCACCUCUUUGGACUCGUACUGACGCUGAGGCUCGAAAGCGUGGGUAGCAAAACGGAUUAGAUACCCGUGUAGUCCACGCCGUAAACGAUCCCUGUUAGAUGU
rnacentral:rRNA from 1 species